GUGAGGAAUAUUGCGCAAUGGAGGCAACUCUGACGCAGCCAUGCCGCGUGCAGGAAGAAGGCGCUACGCGUUGUAAACUGCUUUUAACCGGGAAGAAACCCCAGGACGUGUCCUGGGUUGACGGUACCGGAGGAAUAAGCACCGGCUAACUUCGUGCCAGCAGCCGCGGUAAUACGAAGGGUGCAAGCGUUAUCCGGAUGCAUUGGGUUUAAAGGGUGCGUAGGCGGAGCGUUAAGUCAGUGGUGAAAUCCUGCAGCUUAACUGUAGACUUGCCAUUGAUACUGGCGCUCUUGAGUGCGCUUGAAGUGGGUGGAAUGUGCCGUGUAGCGGUGAAAUGCUUAGAUAUGGCACAGAACACCAAUUGCGAAGGCAGCUCACUAAGGCGAUACUGACGCUGAGGCACGAAAGCGUGGGGAUCGAACAGGAUUAGAAACCCGGGUAGUCC
rnacentral:rRNA from 1 species